CGCCCCGCCCCGCGCUGCCCCAGCGGCCCGGGCUGCCCCGGGCACGGCCGCCGCCGGCCGGGGCGUGGCGUCACCCGCCGCCCACUGAGCGACCGCGCUGAGCACAGCACCGGGACGGCCGCGUGCAGGGCCGGGGGCGCCGCACCCACCUGCACCAACGCUCCGCCGCCGCUCCGCCGCCGCCCGGCGUGGGGAAGGCGGGGCCGGGCCGCGCGCAUGCGCCGCUGGCGGGAGAGGGGGAUAUGGCGGUGCCGGGCCUUGGGAGGCCAGCGAGGAGAGGCUGAGAUGUGGUGUAACUUCUCUUAGCUGCCUCCCGAGGCAUCACCUGCCUGUGUGCGGGCUGAGAGCCGUCGAAAGCCGGCUGCUUCCUUCCCGUAGGCCGGGAACCGAGAGCCGUGCUGCUGGGCGUCCCGGGGCGGCUUCCCUAGCUCUGUCAGUAGCAAGGUUGGGCGAGAGGAGAAAUUCCUUCGGACUUGAAGAAGUAAACGCACAAUAUAUUGUAGUGGCGUAUUUUUAGGCAUAUAGCUGUUGAAUUGUUGUGUUAUGUGGUUAGUUCUUGCUUGCAAAGCUGUAAUAGCUUUUAGAUGUUGUGAAUAGUUACGGUUGUAGCAUUAUAGACUAGAAAGUGUGUUGUAAGGCUAUUCUGCUUUACAGCAAAAGAAACAGUAAUGAAACCACGUGAGUAGCCUUACCAAGGAUCCGAAGAAGCCUCCUUGUCUCCCCGUACCCCGCUAUGUAGCAUUAGAAGACAGGUUGCCAAACUUACCUCCACCAGAGGACAAGCAGAUGUUCAGAAAUAAUGGCUGAGUGAGCAAACAUUACAACUCUGGUACCUAUAAAUUACUUGUAAGAGGCAUUCUCCUACUGAGCAUACACCAGUGAAGAGAGUUCAUUUUGGGGGUGAGUGAGGAAGACUGUAGAGUGACGGAAAAGGCUGCUGAGUGGACUGUCGUGAUGCUAAAAGGACACCAGACAGUAGAAGAGACCAUGGAAUAGAAGACUGGAAACCUCAUAAAUCACUGCCUGAGAUAGCAGAAGCACUGCCAUGGGCAGCCCUGGGAGGUGGUGGAGCCUCGUGCUGGGCUGGCCUGAAAUGCCGAGAACAGCUGUGUGUGUGCCAUGGGACACCUGCUCCUAAAUUUGUGCUCAUAUAAGUACAUGAUAAACAAACUUCCUGCAGGAAGAAGUGCGCAUUCAGGUGUGGUGAUGUUUCUGGGUAUGUAGUGAGAUUCUUGUAGGGCUGAAUUCAAAGUGGGCACCUGCAGGGUAACUCCAUGAGGCUGAAUCCACCUGUCCCAGAUUUAAGUCCUGCUGUUUGGAUCUUAGAAACCUUACCUGGCUGAAACUUAUUGUAGAUCAGCACAUGCCACCUUGUGGCAAGUUAACAGCGUGCAUCUGGGCUGUUUAUUCCCAACUCUUCAUGCUUUAUUCCUUAUUAAGAUACUGCCUUCCUUUUAUAUUCCUUGUAUUUUGGGGCUCACAUUGCUUCAUCUCAGAGCUCCUGUGCUCCUGUUGCAGUAGUUUGUACAUGUCUUGGAGAUCCACCUGUGGCGUUUUGCACUUUGAUCUCAUGUUCUGCCAGUAUAAAGCGUAUUUGUUGGUGAGACAUGCUGAGCACUUUCCAAUUCAAAGCCUGAAGGUAGCUGGUGAAAACUGCACCUGGCUAAUCUGGUUAGUAAGGUGCUGUGAGGAGCACAGAAUGUUCACCUUCAAACUUGUACCGUGAUUUCUGUAUCCAGCUAGUUCCUGCUCCUUACGUCUCUUGUGCAAGCGCUGGAUUUAAAUGUGUUAUUCCUCUUGUUUUCUCAAGUCCCACUUGCUUACUGUCACAGUGUCAUUUUCCAGCAUAAAUACAGUGUUUACAAAGAUAAUUCAGGCUUUCACUGCAGACCUUUCAUUUGCAGUGCUUAUGCAGGCACAUCACUGCAUGGGACAAAGUCUCUCUUGUUCACAGUGAACAUCAGUGUUAUGGGAAGGGAACAAAAGGCUGGAAGGGGUAAUCAGCAGAUGCAGUGAAACAGUGCUGUAGCAAGAAAAAAAUAGCUGGAGGGGCUGCUUCUCAGGUUGGAGGAGCCCUCAGUGAAAAGUGGCAAUGCCUUCCAAAAAAGACAUUGAAGAAAUGCUGUUGCAGUAGGUUAAGGUGUGACCUGCUCUUUAUUUUAGUAAUCUGCUUUAAUCAUUCAUCUGUGUGUAACCUUUGGAGCUUCUAAAACCAGUUCUUAAGUACUUUUCAUUUUAUAAAGUCUGUAUGAGCCACAAUGGAAGGAAAUAAAUUUUAAUAGGCUACCAUAGCAGCUGUAAGUUUGCAGGGAGCUAAUUUAAACCAUAUUCUCUUACCACUCUGCCUUGAGCAUUAGAAAGAAGUAUUUUAAGUGAGGCGUAGUUCAAUCUAGUGGUGAUUUGGGGAUGAUUAAAGCUUAUGAGUCUACAGUCUACAGCUUUUUGGUGGUUUUUUUUUUUUUAAUUUUCUGUUUGACUUUAUAAGCCUUCAAUUGAAGGGGGUUUUCCAUGGCUUCCACAUUAGCUUGGGUUGGUGGACCUACAAAGGAUAAAUGCCAUAACCCUUGUGAUGCUAAGUGGCUGCUCUCAAUCACCCCUGCACAAAUGUGAUCAGUUUCUUAAAAUCAGUGCCAACUAAGGGCCUCUGAGUGCAUGAAAGCAGCUAUUUGCUACCAGAGUGGGUAUCUCAGAUUAGAAACAGUUACUAACUAAAUAGGAGUUUUCUUUCCCUCUAAUGAAAACAAGUUUGCACAGUGGAAUGGCCACUUCCAAAGGGAAAUGUUGAAAGAGGAAGGAUUAAAGGAGUUUUUUUUUUUUUUUUUUCUCCUGGAAAGGUAGAACAAGGACAAGGAGGAAUUACUUUUUAACAGACUGCCUGGGAUGGCUGAGGAGCAUAGUUGGGCGAUGAGUCUGUGCUGGUUUUAGUUGCCAAAACAGAGCAACCUGUCCCAAGGUUUGUGUAGGAUGGAGAGAAAGGUAGAUCAGGAAGGUUGAGCUGCAGAUGUGAAGCCUUGUGUUAAUGGUCUUUGAGGCACUGGACAGAACCCAGAGAGACUUCAGGAUUAGACUUUGACAAAGGGAAUUGCAGAUAUUCAUAGGAAGAAUUCUUAUCAGGGAGAUUCUGAUUUGAUAUAAGGAAAAGGUUUAUAGGAUAAAGGUGUUGAGGCACUGGCACAGGUUGCCCAGAGAGGUGAUGGGUGCCUCAUCCCUGCAGAUAUCCAAGUUCAGGCUGCUCAUGCCCUGAGCACCUGAUGGAGUUGUAGGUGUCCCUGUUCAGUGCAGGGGAGUUGGUCCAAAUGGCCUUUAGGAGUCCCUUCCAACUCAAAUGAUUCCAUGAAUCCAUUGUUACUCCUGGAGCUGGGUAUGCAGAGGGCAGGGGCAGCUCUCACGUAGCUAUGGAAGUGCUGCUGGAGAGCUGUAUGUUAAAGCAGGUUUGCUUUGGCUGUGAUCUCGUUCCAUGAAGGUUGUGUCAGUACGAACAUAGCUGCAAGCUGUAUUUCCAGAGCUUGAACUGACAGCCACGUGCAGCUGUGCAGGAAGGGCUCAGACACUUGUUUCCUAGGGCACAGGGAGAUGUGCUGCUUCGUCACUGCCAACCAUUCUGCAAGCAGCCCUUCUGAUUCCAUGGAUUUCUUUUUUUUUCUUUAUAAAAAUUAGAGUCCUUCAGAGCUCAAGGAAACCACGUUUGAUUCAGGGAUAUUAUGCAGGCAGUAAAAAGAAGUUUUUUAAAAAAUCAGCAGUUUUUUGGAGGUUGUUUGUUCAGCUCUACUAUUAAUGUGGUGUUGUUUGCCAGACUGUGAUCAAAACCACUUGGCAGGAGAGACUUAGUCAGGAGGGCGAGCCAGUGGAGUGGAGCUGUCAUCUAAGUACGUCCAGAAAAACCGUUCUCUUGGCACAGCAAACAGACUGUUUACAGAAAAAAUAAACAUGCCCUCUAAAAUUAUGUUCUUUCUCUGUAAAAUCAUGGAAGGUCACCAGGCUUUGACCCUACAGAAGGAGCGUAACACUUUAUGAGACUUCUGUCAAAGCACGUGAUAAAAAAUAAAUACACUGUAAUAAAGAAGUGUCAGUCUGAUGGCUGAGAUGUGCCUUCCUAACGCAUUCUGUCUCCCUGCUGUAAGAUGUGCUGUGCGUGCUGCCAGGCAAAGGAAGCCCAUCUGGAGAGGAUAUCAAAUCCAUCCAUUUUCUUGACGUAUCAGUUGAUGUAAUUAACUUUUGUUUCAUCUCCCAAGUAAACCUUGUAAACACUAAAAUGUGUCAAAGUAAAAUAUAAUUUAUUGAAGGGUGUGAUUUGUAGAAGUCCUCAUGGUGUUUCAGUUGCUGGAUAGAGCCCCAGAUGCUGAAUAUCCACAAGGAACAAAGGCCUGAUCCAGCCAAACCUGGGUUGUUCUCUGAGCAGUGCCAAUAGAUGGGUGAGAUAGGGCUGAGGAAGGCUGUGGGGACCACCUCUGCGUGCGUCUUUGUGUCGGGGCAGUAGGAGCACCUCCUCUUUGCUGCUCAGGAUUUCCAGCUGUAUUCUUUAUAGUGGUUCCUUCUUCCUCCUCUGCAAGGCUGUUUGUUGAAAUUUUGCUGUGUAAACUCCUGGCAUGGGAGCGAGAAUUGUCAUUCAUGAGAGCCCAAGUAAGCCAGCAUUGAGGCUUGGCCUGCCCUGAGCUCCCUGCUGUCACAGCUGGGUCAGUGUCUGGUCAAGCUAGUUGAAAAAAACACCUCAUGCCACCACAAUCAAGCAGUUGCAGCUCUGUAUUUGAGGACCAUGCAGACUGCUUCUCAGUACUGCAGGGAUACCUGCAGAUUUUCUGGAUGUACACACCCGCGUUACUCAGUGUAACCAUCAGCCCUUCCUCAGUAGUUCAGAGGCACAAAAGCGCUUCCUCGCUGCCACCCUCAGUCUCACAUACAGCACUAAGGCAGUCAGAUGGCCCUGCUGGGAUCUCUACCACUACUAUUAUACAUGUGAAGAGCAUAGAAGAUAUUGAAAUUUCUAAAACCUGAGCUAUCAGCUUGCUGAGGAUGAGUAUGCAAGUGUUCAGCCUUGGGUUUUCCAUACCCUGCCAACCCACUGAAGUUUUAUGUUAAUCAAGAAAAGGAGAAAGUCUUCCAUCUGAUGGUAGUUUAGAUUCUGCUCGGUUAUAACUCACAACCCCAAAGCAUAAGAAUUAAGUUUAAUAGUCCAUAAAUUACACAGCAUGCAGUACAUACUGUUGUAAUCUGCACAUAAUCCAUACGAAGUAUUAACACCCAUGUCUAAACAAAAUUCAAAGUCACUGUAGGCAAUCUUAAACCUCAGCUGUACAGUUUUUCUGAACUAUUUUGGCUGUAGACAUGACUUUUCACCCCUCUACCCCCAUAUGGUAUUAAUUCAAUUGUUUUAUAUGUUGUACAUGCGUAAGAGCUAGAAGGGAUUUCCUCCAACAACAAACACUGGGGAUAAAAAGGUUGGUGUUUAUAAAAACGUCAAACUGAAAGGCUCUUCCAUAGCUUGCUGGAGGAU
rnacentral:lncRNA from 1 species